UCCCCAGCCCAGAGCAACGGUUUGCAUUUAUUUCCAGGUACUCUCCAUGUAGAAGGAGGCAAGGAAUAGACAAGCCUCGUCAACCACAGCUGCCACCGGCCAAGCCUAUUAUUCAGGGGAUGAGAGCUGAGAGUCUGUCAGGGUGGGCAGGCACGGCAGCAAGCUGCAGGCUUGGUGGCAGAAGCGAGAAGCAGAGAGAUCACACCUCAGCCACAAGCAGGAAGCAGAGAGAUCCCAUUGGAAACAGGCCCUCCGUCUUAUUUGUUGAGAGAGGGUCUCUCAUCAAACCUGGAGUCCAUUGAUUCAGCGAGACUCAUUGGCCAGUGAGCUUCAGGAAUGUUCCAGUCUCUCCCCAGGGCUGGGAUUGCAGGCACAUGACCCCCACUAUGCAGAUGAUCGUGCCUGAUGACCCAGUCAGUUGUGGAUGGCAAAGCAGUUGGAUUAUUUCCAGUUGUGCCCAGGAACCACGGCGGCGCUGUUGCAUGUGUGGAAGUCUGCCUAUAGGAAAUUAGGAGACACUCGGAAGUAGGGCUGCCUGGCCGGAAGACAGAUGCGUCUGUGAUCGGGAUGGACUUCGCCAAAUUUCUGUCCGUUCAGGUUUCGACAAACGUCAUUCUAAAGUGAGAUGUGAGAGAUCAUGUCUUCCUAUAGCUGUGCUGUUGAGUGCCCCACAGGCUACAUGACUUCAUCCAAAAUUAGAAACUGUGACCCAGCAGGGAACAUUCUUGACUUCUCUGAUUCCCAGAAACAGCCCUGGCUCCCUAGACUUGCUAGAGCAGGCUAGUACAGUGACCAUGUAUUCAAUAGAGCUACAGUCAUAUACUUAAAAAAAAAAAAACAUACCUAUGUGUUCGCUACCACUAAGAACUUCCUGUAUUCUCCUGCCUUACCCCACUGCUGAAUUCAGUUCUCCACUGAAUUUCCCAACAAUCUAAUUGCUACCUGUAACACGGGGGCCGGCUUGUUGGGGUUUCUGUCCCACCCGGUACCCCACAACCAGCAAUUCCCAAAGAA